UUUCAACAACGGAUCUCUUGGUUCUGGCAUCGAUGAAGAACGCAGCGAAAUGCGAUAAGUAGUGUGAAUUGCAGAAUUCAGUGAAUCAUCGAAUCUUUGAACGCACAUUGCGCCCUUUGGUAUUCCAAAGGGCAUGCCUGUUCGAGCGUC
rnacentral:rRNA from 1 species